GGAUUGAAUACUUCAGGUAUAUAAACGUCUGCAUUUGAGCUGCAUUACUGAAUGCUUAGAAUCCUCCGAGCAACGUCAACGUAACGAUCACUCAAGAUGAACACCAAACAGUUGAUGUGUUUGUUAGUCGCGGCCGUAGUGCUUCUAGCGAUUGCUCCGGUAGCAAACGCCCAAUACUAUGAUUACGGAUAUGGCGGUAACAACUAUGGCUACCCCGGAAACUAUGGCUACGGGGGAAACUAUGGCGGGUAUCCAGGAAAUUAUGGCAACUAUGGCAACUAUGGCGACUAUGACAACUAUGGUGGCGGAUGGUUAUACAAAAUCCUCGGAGGGGGUGGCAAAGGCAAAUACGGCUAUGGCAAAUAAUAAAUGUCGUAAAGGAAAACGCAUCUUACAACACCACACUUAGAUACAUGUAAAGCAACCGUUUCCUUGUAAUUUACGUUCCAAUAAAGUUUUAGACAGCAAUACAUAAACUAAAUCGCA